UGGGAGAAAAAAAGAUUUUUCGGUUUUAGCGAGAAAACACAUUUUUCGGUUCAGUUCUGGCGGGAAAACAAGAUUUUUCGGUUUUGGCGGGAAAAUACAAAUUUUCGGUGGCAAGAAAACAAGUUUUGCGGUUUUGGCCCAAAAACACGUUUUUGACGGAAAAACGCGUUUUUUGCGGUUUUGGAGGGAAACACGUUUUUGCUAUUUUCGCGGGAAAACAAAAUAUUUCAAUUUUGACGAGAAAA
rnacentral:lncRNA from 1 species